AUGAGAAUCAGGCAUGGUUUAUUGCAUGCCCUGCCCUGGACUCUCUCAGGACAAUUCUGCACAGCAGCCAGAACAAUUUGUCUCCUGUGCUGCUCCUGCUUGUUUCGCAAAGUGACUCCAGGAAUUCCUGUCUGGAACGCAGUGGGUUGGCAAUGGGGCCAGUUGCUGCUCAGCCUUAGCUCUGUCUGAUCCUUCCCCUGUUUGCUGCCCUUCCAAUCCAUGCAGAUGGCCUCCAUAUGGGGAAAAACUGGAGAUGUAAAUAAAUUGUUCUUUGAAUAAAUUGUUCUUUGAAGAUGUAGCCAUCUCCUCAGAUCUAAAGGCCGGCAGAGUCCAAUCAUUUAGCAGGAGAGGAAAGCUUCUCAUCUCUAAUGGACCUCUGUGCAAAUCGCCCUUAUGUCCCCAGAGAUCACCCAACAGAGGUACUGAACACAGAAAAAUCGGGAGGAGAUGUAC